rnacentral:rRNA from 1 species
CCCUUAGAUGUUCUGGGCCGCACGCGCGCUACACUGAAUGGAUCAACGUGUUUUCCCUUCCCGAGAGGGACGGGUAACCCGCUGAACCCCAUUCGUGGUAGGGAUCGGAGCUUGCAAUUGUUCUCCGUGAACCAGGAAUUCCCAGUAAGCGCAAGUCAUAAGCUUGCGUUGAUUACGUCCCUGCCCUUUGUACACACCGCCCGUCGCUACUACCGAUUGAAUGGUCCGGUGAAGCCUCCGGAUUGGCGCGCACCUCGGUGCCGCCGAGAAGUUGGCUAAACCUUACCAUUUAGAGGAAGGUGAAGUCGUAACA